rnacentral:tRNA from 1 species
GCCACCUUAGCUCAGUUGGUAGAGCAAUGCUUUUGUAAAGCAAAGGUCCCCAGUUCGAAUCUGGGAGGUGGCU